CUUCCAGCUGUCGAACUUGGCUGUUAGUGGACACAGGAAAUGCACAAGGCCAUUCACAAAAUCAGUGCAGACUAGAGACAGGCAACGCGCCCUCAGCAGAGACCGGGGCCCCUGCUCAGAGACUGGAAUGGUUAGCUCCAGGUGGAGUCGAGAUAAUUACACAGCACCCAGAGCAAUUCUCGGAAUGAGGGGAAUAUGAAAUCUGCAAUCUUAAAAAUAGCAGGAGGAUGAGACAUGAGGAGGCAUUUUAGACUGAAAAGGAAGGGGGCUGUCGAGAGAGCACCAAAAAUAAAUCCAGAGACUACACCCCACGGAGAUCUGCACAGAAGGCCAAAAGAGAUGGCUGCAAGGGCAAACCUGCAGCCAGAAACGCCAGCCCGGAGGAAAGGUUCCUCCGAGGCAGCUCCAAGCCCUGGACAGUUUCAGACAAUCAUGAUGAAAUGCAGAAAGAGAAACUGGAACCUAAGUCACUCUGGCGGUCACCAUCCCACGUCAUUCCAUAGGGGACCAGGUCACUGCAGACAGCGCCCGUGCUAACGAAGCAUUUCUCUUUGUUUUUGUAACAGUCCUGGCUGUCCUGGAACUCACUCUGUAGGCCAGGCUGGCCUCAAAUUCACAGAGAUCUGCCUGCCUCUGCCUCCUGAGCGCUGGCAUUAAAGACGUGUUGCCACCACCGCCCGGCUAACGAAGGAUUUCUACCACCCUGGAGAGGCCUCUAUGAAAUCUCCCAAGGAGCUCUGUGGUCCAUGUUCUCUACAGUCUGAACUGAAACAUCUGGAUCAUGACAGCAGGCCAGCUUCCUUUCCUAAGGGCCCAGCUCUCCCUCUUCCUGGCUUAAGAUGUUUUUGUCCCAGCCUUUAGGGUGUGGGGAGGUAUUGGUUUCUCCUCCCUAUGCAGAUGACUGGCUGGCUUCAUCACAAUAAGAAGCAGUCUCUGCAGGUAAAGGAAUCCUGCUUCUCAGAACCAUCCACUUCUAUGAGGGAAGCUGACUGCUAGACCCAGGGACCCAGACAGUAUCCAAUUCCCAGUCACCGCUGUGAGUCUGUAAGGCUCUGAGUCCCAGAAACUGACCUCUUCAUAUUUGCGGUCAGCAUCUUCAGCAAUGUGCUUGGCCUCUUUCAGCUGGAUCUCCUGAAUUUCCAUCUUUUCUUCAUCCUU